CCUACGGGAGGCAGCAGUGGGGAAUUUUGGACAAUGGGGGCAACCCUGAUCCAGCAAUGCCGCGUGAGUGAAGAAGGCCCUCGGGUUGUAAAGCUCUUUUGUCGGGGAAGAAACGGUUCAUCCUAAUACGAUGGACUAAUGACGGUACCCGAAGAAUAAGCACCGGCUAACUACGUGCCAGCAGCCGCGGUAAU
rnacentral:rRNA from 1 species